rnacentral:rRNA from 1 species
AGAGUUUGAUCAUGGCUCAGGACGAACGCUGGCGGCGUGCCUAAUACAUGCAAGUCGAGCGGACCAAUUAGAAAGCUUGCUUUUUGAUUGGUUAGCGGCGGACGGGUGAGUAACACGUGGGUAACCUGCCCUAUAGACCGGGAUAACUCGCGGAAACGCGUGCUAAUACCGGAUAACACAUCGAAGCGCAUGCUUCGGGGUUGAAAGAUGGUUCUGCUAUCACUAUAGGAUGGGCCCGCGGCGCAUUAGCUAGUUGGUGGGGUAACGGCCUACCAAGGCGACGAUGCGUAGCCGACCUGAGAGGGUGAUCGGCCACACUGGGACUGAGACACGGCCCAGACUCCUACGGGAGGCAGCAGUAGGGAAUCUUCCACAAUGGGCGAAAGCCUGAUGGAGCAACGCCGCGUGAGCGAAGAAGGUCUUCGGAUCGUAAAGCUCUGUUGUAAGGGAAGAACAAGCGCAGC